rnacentral:tRNA from 1 species
AGGGGUGUGGCUCAGUGGUAGAGUGCUUGCCUAGCGAGUGUGAGACCCUGAGCUCAGUCUCGGCAUCCCAA